UUUUUCCUUUCUGAUUCUUCCAGAAGAGGACAAAAUCGGUUGGUGGAUGAUAGUUGCCCUUUGUCUAGAGGCUGGAUGUAGAAGGUGCUGCAAGCUCUGCAAGCUGAUUAGUUAAUGUGGAAGCUGAAACCUACCUUGGGAAGUUGACCACUGACCAUUGUCUUGCUUUUACCUGGGUUGCUUCCUUGUUUCUCUGUAGGUUUAUAGCAAAGGGUUAAGGCUGCAUAGAUCUCUGCAGUUACAAUUAUUCAUACCAGAAGAUCCCGCUAACUUCUUUGUUAUUUGAGCAGCUGGAUGAGAUUCCUGGUUUCCAUAAUCUGGACCUGGAGGCUUAUACAGGAGAGGAUCACUGGGGCAGACUUGAACCAUGGUGCCCACAAGUGGGGAGGGCGCUCCAGGGCCCAUGGAAAGAACUUCCUUCUGCAGUUGGAGACAGCCUUCUUUCUGUGUGGCGGGUUAUCAUGCUGACUUGACUAACACAAACCCCCAUCUGGAUGCAGUCCAAACGCCAGAUGUGCCCCCGAUUAGUGUCGGUCUGGGGAAUGUUUCCAUGACUGAAAGGCUGAAGGACAGAGUGUGAUUUUCCACUUGGAAGAGACUCCAGGGCUGUGCAGAGAGGGAAGUCCUGCUGACCCAUUUCAGUAGACUGUGACACUUCAGCGACCUGCAAAUUCUACACAUUAGAGUUCAUAUUUUAUACAAACUCCGUACACCUAAUAUGUGGACUUAACAUUUCUACCAACAACAUCCAACUUCCCAUAAAAGAUGCAGGCCCAUCAGAAGAUGAAAGCUAUGAAUGAAGAUCCAUUAAAGAUGAGAUUUAUGGCCACCCCUUAGGGAAAGAAAAGAUUCAUAAAUAAUUUCAUGAAGAUUACCUCAAAAUAGAGUCAUAAUU